rnacentral:rRNA from 1 species
GAUGAACGCUAGCUACAGGCUUAACACAUGCAAGUCGAGGGGCAGCAUGAAAUCAGCUUGCUGAUUUUGAUGGCGACCGGCGCACGGGUGAGUAACGCGUAUCCGACCUGCCCCGUACUCAUGGAUAGCCUUGCGAAAGCAAGGGUAAUACAUGAUGUUGUCAUUGUUCUGCAUGGGAUGAUGACCAAAGGUUUACCGGUACGGGAUGGGGAUGCGUAACAUUAGGUAGUAGGCGGGGGUAACGCCCACCUAGCCUACGAUGUUUAGGGGUUCCUGAGAGGAAGGUCCCCCANACUGGAACUGAGACACGGUCCAGACUCCUACGGGAGGCAGCAGUGAGGAAUAUUGGUCAAUGGUCGAGAGACUGAACCGAGCCAAGUAGCGUGCAGGAUG